UCCUUUAUUUUAGCAUGUGCACAUGGUAAGUCAUCAUGCUUCUUGGAUGUGUCUUUUCAGAUUCCACAAUGUUUCUUUAGUUGUGGACAUUACAUCACCGCACUUUCUCUCUUGCUCUUGGUCCUCAUAUUUGUAAAUCACCUUGAUUUUGCACCUGUACAUUUGAUCAGUUUCUUUAUGAAAAUAUUUAGGGAACUCCAUGACAGUAGCUAAAGCAAGGGGCUAUAGCAGCGCACAAGUAGACUACAAAUGCAUGCUGGGCCCGGCAUGCCCUGAGCUUUUGAUGUGAACGCUACUUGGAGCGGGCGAAAAGGCCGGCAAGUCAGCCUUUGGGUAUCUCGCUCCAGUCAAAUUGGACACGCUCUGCUCUAGCUCCGCUCAGAUCACUAGCCGCGGGCAGCAUUUGUUUCCGGGUAUUCUGGAAUAAGGACACGAGAUAUGGCAAUCGGGCUGGCUUUGUAGUGACUGUGCAAUUGAAGGCAGCAUGUCAGGAGUGAUGGGAUUAUGUAACUGUGUUAUAAUGCGCUAUAUUGUAUUAUUAAAAAUCGAUUGCUAAGGUUCAAUGAAGAUAAUUCAUGAUAUGUUUAGCUUAGUGGAAAAUGUAGACUUUGAUGUUGGUAAGGGGGGCGGGUGGCGUUUUGAUUGAGUUGUUGAUGGGGCAGCACUGUUUUAGCUGUCCCAUAAUGUAUACUUUUGGUGGCAGUACUGUUUUUCUUCCAGAAUCACUAUGUAAAUAAACACCCUUGCACA